rnacentral:misc_RNA from 1 species
UCCGAGUUGACCCCGGCAGUCUCCCAUGAGUCCCCACCACACCGAAGUGCUGUGCUGGCAACAUGGAACGAGGGUUGCGCUCGUUGCGGGACUUAACCCAACAUCUCACGACACAAGCUGACGACAACCAUGCACCACCUGUAUACCGACCUUGCGGGGCCCCCAUCUCUGAGAGUUUCCGGUAUAUGUCAAGCCUUGGUAAGGUUCUUCGCGUUGCAUCGAAUUAAACCACAUGCUCCGCUGCUUGUGCGGGCCCCCGUCAAUUCCUUUGAGUUUUAGCCUUGCGGCCGUACUCCCCAGGCGGGGCACUUAAUGCGUUAGCUACGGCGCCGGGGGAGUCGACACCCCCAACACCUAGUGCCCAUCGUUUACGGCGUGGACUAC